GGAUAACCUGCCCUUAGGUCUGGCAUAACCCCGGGAAACUGGGGAUAAUUCCGGAUAGAUCAUCGAUGCUGGAAUGCGCUUUGAUCCAAAGCUAUUGUGCCUAAGGAUGGGUCUGCGGUCUAUCAGGUCGUAGUGGGUGUAAUGUACCUACUAGCCUACGACGGAUACGGGUUGUGGGAGCAAGAGCCCGGAGAUGGAUUCUGAGACAUGAAUCCAGGCCCUACGGGGCGCAGCAGGCGCGAAAACUUUACAAUGCGGGGAACCGCGAUAAGGGGACACCGAGUGCCAGCAUCCUAUGUUGGCUGUCCAUAUGUCUAAAUCACAUGUGUUAGCAAGGGCCGGGCAAGACCGGUGCCAGCCGCCGCGGUAACACCGGCGGCCCGAGUGGUGGCCACUAUUAUUGGGUCUAAAGGGUCCGUAGCCGGUUUGGUCAGUCUUCCGGGAAAUCUGACGGCUCAACCGUUAGGCUUUCGGGGGAUACUACCAGGCUUGGGACCGGGAGAGGUAAGAGGUACUACGGGGGUAGGAGUGAAAUCUUGUAAUCCCUGUGGGACCACCAGUGGCGAAGGCGUCUUACCAGAACGGGUCCGACGGUGAGGGACGAAAGCUGGGGGCACGAACCGGAUUAGAUACCCGGGUAGUCCCAGCUGUAAACUAUGCUCGCUAGGUGUCAGGGACGGUGCGACCGUUUCUGGUGCCGCAGGGAAGCCGUGAAGCGAGCCACCUGGGAAGUACGGUCGCAAGGCUGAAACUUAA
rnacentral:rRNA from 1 species